GGGGAUUCUCUAGCACAAUUGCAGAAGAAGGAAGUAGCUACUGUCUCUACGAUUUACAAAGAUGCUAGACUCAUAGAGUAUACUCUUAAUUGUUUGCUGAUAGUCACUUGCAAUUUGCAACACGUUUUCAAGUCAUGGGACUCUGAGACAGCUGUAGUCUAAUUUCAAUGCCAGGUUAAGUACCAUAGUGCUAGUCAUGAAUUUCUAAGAAUUUAAAAUGCAAUCCUCUGAUAUUCACUACCUUUGGGACACUUGGACUAGGUCAUAAAAGGUCAUGCAGCUUCUGCUAUGCGGCUGGAGCACCUGCUUUUGGCAUUUUAGCCUACCACCUAAGACAUCCAGAUUCACCCAGGGUCCAUGCUUGAAGAAGCCAAAAUCACAUGGAGAGACUACACAAAGCACUUUUGUUAAAGUCCCAGCUGCACCCCAGCCUUCAAGUCAUCCCUGCCUAGGCGCCAGACAUGUGCAUGAAGAAGCCUCUGGAUGAUUCUAGCUUUGAGCCGUUUGUGUAUUCUUUGCUAUUCAAACAUUUUCAGCUGAGAUCACAAGCAUUACGGAGAAAAAACAAAACAAAAUGAUUCAGUAUAUAUCCAAUAUGAAUGGUGUCCUUAUAAGAAGAGACACCAGUGGUACAAGUGUACAGAGGGAUGGCCAUGUGAAGAGGCAGCAAGAGGGCAGCAGUCUGCAAGCCAAGGAGAGAGGCCUCAGA
rnacentral:lncRNA from 10 species